rnacentral:lncRNA from 1 species
CAGGCGACGCACAUCCGGUGGAGUUUCGACCAAUGAGAAGGCGUCGUUUCGUUUGAACCGGGGGAGCGGUACUCUUAUCGUUGUUCUGUCUGUUGUUUAAAAACGGAAUAAAAUACUUAUAUUUCAUCCCGUAACUAAAUCAACUAACGUUAGCUAAAAAAUUAAAUAAAUAAAAAGGUGUGAUAACGGAUACAGACGGAGGGGACGUUUAAUGUUUGAGUUUGUCGGUUCCCGAUCUUCUUGUUGGUGAAACUGACCUGAGUAAAGAUGAACCGAGCAGGCCAACCGUUGUUCAUGAAGACCUACGGCAAACAGAAACGGAAGUUGGAGGCCUGGAUCUCCCCUGACAACCGAAAACAGGUUUUCGACACCACCUCUUCCUCUGACCUCUCCAUUGCUGAGCCCUCCAACCCCAAACCCCCGGCCAAGAGAGGGAGAAAGACAAGUACAGCAGAUGGCAGUAGAGCGACGCGACUAGCUAAGUCCAAUGCCCUGUCCUGUCUGAGAGAGAAGGACAGUGACGAAGAGAACAUCUUCAUUGUCCCUCCUCCUCCUCCUCCUCCUCACACCCAGCAGCAGAGCAACAACGCAGACAGGAAGUCAUUGUUGAGGCGUACUGGUAGAAAGGCCCAGCGUAUCGUGAGCACCAGUGAGAGUGAUGAAGAGUCAACGACCACCAGCCAACCCAACCCUAAACGCUCCACAGCUAGAGACAAGACACACACACAGUCCUGCUGGCCCAGCUCAGCUCAAACUCCUCUGAUGACUUCGUCCAUGAUGGAAGAGAAGAAGGGGGAGUGGUCCAGCGUGCCUUCCCUUGCCGUGCCAAACAGGGGCGCCGCCGUGCCCUGGCCAACGCUGACAGCUCGUUGGCCGACCCGGGGAACAGCGGAGUAGUAACCAACGGUUACGGUUUCCUGCGAGAUAUCUCUCUGAAUGAUUCGCCCGAGCGCCCCUCGGGACCCUGCCACAGGAAACCUCUCUUCUCCUCCACCCCUAGCUCACGUUCCCUCCGUCCUCCCAUCUCUCCCUCCGCCAGCGACGUCAUCUCUCUGAGCGCCGCCCGGGAGGAGCUGGCCGUUCCAGAGGACCCGCUCCGUCCCUCUCCGUCUGCCUCGCUCGCAGAUCCACGUCCUGGGCAACGCCAGCUGUCGUCCCUGUGCCGGGAAGUGGGACCAGAGGUAGGAAACUGCGAAGGAUCAACCAGCGUGAGGAGUAACAGGAGCCGGAAUGGAGACUCGGCGAUCCAAGAUGGCGUCGGUGAGCAGCUGAGCCUGAGCCUGUUCUCCGCGGUUGCCUGUGAGCGGACUGGCUCAGGCACGGCCGGGGAGGAAACUGAGGACGGCAGCCAUUUUGUGUCGGCGACGACGGCGGGACGGGAUUGGCUGGCCGAGGUAGUGAAGGAGAGAUGUCUGACGCGGCGCUGUGUCGUACGGCUAGAGAGAGAGUACAAACUGCACCGCGACGCCACCUAUUCGUCCUGCGUCGACCCUACGAGGUCACGCUACGACGGCGGGUCCGUCGACCACUCG